CGAACGCUGAUCCCCGGCCUCGGUCGGGGUGAUGAGUGGCGAACGGGUGAGUAAUACGUGAGUAACCUGCCCUUGACUCUGGGAUAAGCCUGGGAAACCGGGUCUAAUACUGGAUACGACUCCUCAUCGCAUGGUGGGGGGUGGAAAGGGUUUCACUGGUUUUGGAUGGGCUCACGGCCUAUCAGCUGGUUGGUGGGGUAAUGGCUCACCAAGGCGACGACGGGUAGCCGGCCUGAGAGGGUGACCGGCCACACUGGGACUGAGACACGGCCCAGACUCCUACGGGAGGCAGCAGUGGGGAAUAUUGCACAAUGGGCGCAAGCCUGAUGCAGCGACGCCGCGUGAGGGAUGACGGCCUUCGGGUUGUAAACCUCUUUCAGUAGGGAAGAAGCGAAAGUGACGGUACCUGCAGAAGAAGCGCCGGCUAACUACGUGCCAGCAGCCGCGGUAAUACGUAGGGCGCAAGCGUUGUCCGGAAUUAUUGGGCGUAAAGAGCUCGUAGGCGGUUUGUCGCGUCUGCUGUGAAAGCCCGGGGCUCAACCCCGGGUCUGCAGUGGGUACGGGCAGACUAGAGUGCAGUAGGGGAGACUGGAAUUCCUGGUGUAGCGGUGAAAUGCGCAGAUAUCAGGAGGAACACCGAUGGCGAAGGCAGGUCUCUGGGCUGUUACUGACGCUGAGGAGCGAAAGCAUGGGGAGCGAACAGGAUUAGAUACCCUGGUAGUCCAUGCCGUAAACGUUGGGCACUAGGUGU
rnacentral:rRNA from 1 species